GGCACCAGAGGUGAUUUGUUCAUUAAAAUAUGAUGCCAGGGUAGAUUUGUGGUCUGUAGGUGUUAUCCUCUAUGAGGCACUGUUUGGUGUGGCACCUUUUGCCUCUGCGUCUUUUGCGGAACUUGAGAAGAAGAUACGAUCUUCAGCUCCCAUUGUGCCCUUUUACUUUCUGGAUGGUUGUUACCCGGGUUAGCUCCCACUGUGUCCAGCCAUCCACCACAGUGAUCCUAAUAGCUGGCAAAUCCCCCCAACUCAGUCAAAAGCUUCCAUUCAAGGCAGUGGUCAACACCAGUUGGAUCAGUGGAAGGAGGAGGUUAUCAUGAAUUCUGGAAAUCAACUGCUAGGAAACCCAAUGGAGCUUCUAAAAAACACUGGCUGCAGAAGUGGUUGAGAGCUGAAAGAUUCAACUGUAACAGUGUUACAAUGUUCCAUAUGUGAACCUGAACUUGUUAGGUUGAUGUUUGUCUGAGAGAGUCUCCUGAAAUUCUGGCAACUAUCUUAAUUAAGCUAGUUUGUUGAAUUGUUCAAGGAGUCAGGGGCGUGACUCCUGGAGCUCCCAUGGUGUGAAAGUCGCAUUAACGUCAAUUUUUUUUCAUGUAUUUUUUUCAACUUGUGCAGGGGA